AACGAACGCUGGCGGCAGGCCUAACACAUGCAAGUCGAGCGCCCUUUCGGGGGAGCGGCGGACGGGUGAGUAACGCGUGGGAAUAUGCCCUUCUCUACGGAAUAGCCUCGGGAAACUGAGAGUAAUACCGUAUACGCCCUACGGGGGAAAGAUUUAUCGGGGAAGGAUUAGCCCGCGUUGGAUUAGGUAGUUGGUGGGGUAAUGGCCUACCAAGCCGACGAUCCAUAGCUGGUUUGAGAGGAUGAUCAGCCACACUGGGACUGAGACACGGCCCAGACUCCUACGGGAGGCAGCAGUGGGGAAUCUUAGACAAUGGGGGCAACCCUGAUCUAGCCAUGCCGCGUGAGUGAUGAAGGCCUUAGGGUUGUAAAGCUCUUUCAAGCUGGGAAGAUAAUGACGUACCAGCAGA
rnacentral:rRNA from 1 species